AGAACUGUUCUUGGAUUUGAGGAUUUUGGAUUGCUUAGCUGCUGAUCAAAAUGCUGCUUUCUGGAUUCGAUAAUUUUAGGAAAAGUUACAGUUUCACAGGGAAAAGAACUGGCUAUGAACAUAUGGACAGGGUGCUAUUCUUGUUUGUCGGAUUGGAAUUGUGAUUUUCUCUCGUCAGGUGUAGCGAAUCAUGUGGAUGAUGUGUUAGCUUCAUUUAAGAUCUUUCCUGGAAGUUUGGUUGAGCUUUUCUAAUAAUUUGAUGAUCUGGUUCAGUGAUAGUUGUGUUGUUUGAACAUGGCUUUUCUUUCACGCAGCUGUUCUGUUGAUUGUUAAUGCGACAUUAUCUGGAUUAUGAAUGCUCGCUUUUUUGUUGGUGUUUGGAGGAUGAAUUCUACCUUUGCCCAGAUCUGAAGAAACUAAGAACUCUCUGAAUCUUUGCUUUUCCUGAAAAUUUUCCUAUUCUGUACUAUUCUUAUUCCCGGAGAUUUAGGUUUGCUUGUUUUUGCUUGCUUUGCAGUGUAUUUGGGAGAUUGGGGAUUGUAGAUCAGAAGAAUAUUCUGCAAGACAGGAGGACCAUAUAUCUAAUUCCAUAAAAGCAAUCUGAUUCUCUAUACAUUUUAUUUCCUUGAUCAUUUAACUACGUAUUUAUGAAGCAUGCAUUGUGAAUUAAAAUGUAGUUUAUAUUCUAUGCAGCAUUGUAGCCGGGUUGUUGAGCACAAUGCAUACAGUGGAUGGAAUCUAGUUUCCUAAAACAGUUUUUCCAAACUCCUUUCCUUUUUGUUCAUUCCAACCUAUUGUGCUAGCAGCAUUUGAAAUAAAUGUCUUUGGUUUCCCGUGCAGUGUUUGUCCGAUCAUGGGUGUUGAGUGCAUCCUGGUGAAAUGCUUUUGCACUUGCCUGGUUCAUUUGUUUGAUUUUUGUGUUUUUUUUUUUGUUUUUAAUUUUAAAUUUGCUACUUUGUGUUGUUUCCUUCGUUACUCUCUCCUGCUUGGAAAUCGGUUUUUGUUUCUCUAUUCAUUAGGAACCAAUUGAAGGGUAUGGGAUUGCACCGAGACUGUAUUCAAGAUUCCGAGAUUGAUAUGUCCUUGUUGUAUUCUUCUUUUUUCUUUCUGCCCCCUAAAUAUUAUAAAAAUAACUUUAUAUAGUCAUUUCACGUUGUUUAUGACCUCCAAUGCUUUUCAUUGGUUGCAGCGAUUUAAAAUUUUGGAUUAGAAGAUAUGAUUUGGAAAAGAAGCUCUGCAACAAUAAUACAGGCUCAGGAUCUUGGAUUAAACUUGUCUUGUCUAUUGAAUUUUUCUGCCAUAUUUAUUUUCUAGCAUUAAUGGUUCAUUCCAAGUUCAAUUUGAACCUGUUUUCUUGCAGUGUUAUGUUCGUUGAGUUGGUUGAGUAACAUUGUCCGUGUAAUCGUUAGAUGUGGAGUUGGUGACUUCUACCUGGAGUUUGAAUGCCCUAGAUCUUUUCUUUUUCUCUCUCCUAUUUUCUUUCCAUGUAUUUAGUAUGAACAUGACAAUUCCCUGUUCCUUUGCAGUGUUGUCUUCAGUCGAUACUUUUGACUACCAUAUUCAUAUGGUGACUUCUAACUCGGUUUAGCAGUUUGUGUUUUGUUCUUCAUGAUUUUGACUGUUAGCUUUGAGAACAAUGAUAGGCCCAACCUGUUGUUCCCUCAUCCUAGUUGUGGACACUCAAGAUAGGAGACUAUCUCCGAGCAGGAUCACAUGGUGCAUCAGUUGUGGGGGGUUAUUAGUUCUCAGUCUCACUAAUAAGGAUAAGAGGAUUUGAUUUUAGUUCAACUUUUUUGGUGGUGUUUUCUCUCUGGAUGAGGUAUUGGAAUUGAAUCAUGAACAUGCUUUUGUGCAGUUAAACCACCGAGUGUAUUGGAGAUUAACUUCGGGGAUUGAGGAGCAGGAUUUUGUCUGCACAAUUUUCCCAACUUAACUUUGCAUUUGUUCUCACCUUAUGUUUUGGUUUGAUCUGGGCUUCCGUCAGUUUGACAAGUUGUUUCUUUUGUUUAUUUUCAGCUUUCUGCAUACGUGUUUGCCAUAAUUUGGCACAUUACCCUAAUUGGAGAAUAUUGCUUGAACGCUGUGAGGGGUCUGAAUUAUGUUAAAACUUUUGGAUUGUUGUGCUGGCCUUAAAACUGUUCUUGCAUGGAAAUUGCAACUAUGAUUUUGUUUUGUGCGCGCAUAACUAGAAACUUCUUUUCGGUUCAUCUCUGUCACUCUUCAUGUUGAGUAGUGUUUGGCAGCAUCUGGGAUUUGUAAGUCGACUUUGAAAUAUUGAAGGACCUCUUCUUGGAUGGUUUAACUAGGAUUUUGUACUUAAAUGAGCAACUUCUGAAUGGUUUUCAAAUGUUCAUCGUAUAGUUUUUGAAGCUUCAUGUUUGGAUUUUCAACUUAAUAUUGUCUUUUGUUCUACGUUUGGCUCUUCUAUAUUCCACAGGAUCAGGGAUUUGUAUUAGGACUUGAGUAUUGAAGGACCUAAGCAUAACUGGUGGCUGGUUUUUUCUGGAUCUUCACUAUAAUCUCUUCCCUUUUUCCUACGGUUCAGUGUCUUAUGUUUGUCAGGAGCUGGGAUUUGCAAUUGGACUUUCCACGGUUUUUUAAACCUUCAACCUAAACAUCACUUUGGAGUACUGGAAGAUUUAAGUAUAAUUGGGACAGGU